rnacentral:rRNA from 1 species
AACGAACGCUGGCGGCGCGUCUUAAGCAUGCAAGUCGGACGGCAAGAGAAGUGCUUGCACUUCUCCUAGAGUGGCGGACUGGUGAGUAACAGGUGGGUGACAUACCCUUCAGAUGGGGAUAGCCGGUAGAAAUACCGGGUAAUACCGAAUACGCUCGUGCAUCUCGGAAGUGUACGAGGAAAGGAGCUACGGCUUCGCUGUUGGAUUGGCCCGCUUCCCAUUAGCUAGUUGGUGAGGUAAUGGCCCACCAAGGCUAUGAUGGAUAGGGGUUCUGAGAGGAAGGUCCCCCACACUGGAACUGAGACACGGUCCAGACUCC